rnacentral:rRNA from 1 species
AGAGAGAGACAUGCGCGCAUAUCAAUAAGCGGAGGAAAAGAAACUAACAACGGAUUCCCCUAGUAACGGCGAGUGAAGCGGGAAGAGCUCAAAUUUGAAAUCUUAAAGGGUUUCCCUUUACGAAUUGUAGUUUAAAGAAGUGUUUUCUGUUGAGGUUUUGGUAAAAGUUCUUUGGAAUAGGACAUCAUAGAGGGUGAGAAUCCCGUAUUUGACCUUUACUUUCAACUUUGUGAUACACUUUCAAAGAGUCGGAUUGUUUGGGAAUGCAGUCCAAAAUGGGUGGUAAAUUUCAUCUAAAGCUAAAUAUUGGCGAGAGACCGAUAGCGAACAAGUACCGUGAGGGAAAGAUGAAAAGAACUUUGAAAAGAGAGUUAAACAGUACGUGAAAUUGUCAAAAGGGAAGCGUUUGACACCAGUGUUGUUUCUCUGAAAAUCAAUUAAAGAACUGUUUAUGCUAAGCUGUUUAGACUUUAUCAGCUAUCUGUUUAGUUUUGAGCUUUUCUUUAAUGCACUUUUCAGUUAACAAGUCAACAUCAAUUUCUUUUGCUGUAAAAAAGCUUGAGGAAGGUGGCUUGAGAUUCGUCUUAAGUGUUUAUAGCCUCUUGCCUAUGCAGUCGGAGAGAUUGAGGUCUGCAGCGUAGAUCCUUCGGGGCUAAAUGCAUUUGUGCUAAGUUAUAGCAUUUUAUAGACAACUUGUUGACUAUGAUUUGUCUUGUAGCUUACUCGCUUAUGUUAUUUUACCUACGCUUAGGAUGUUGAGCGCAUGUCUCUCUCU